rnacentral:pre_miRNA from 1 species
UUUUCCCUUGGAGUUCCCUUCAAGCACUUCACUAGGGCUCAUGAGAACAAGUACUGGGCUAUAGUGAAGUGUUUGGGGGAACUCUACGUGUUGA